UUACACGAUCUUUUCCUGCCUGGAUGCCCUCUCCUGUGUGAUGGAGAAUUAUGCUCGUGGGCAGUGAAGAACACUGCUGACACUUACAUAAUAUCGGAGCAGAAAGUAAAUACAGGAAGGGCCAGCUUACAGCCUCAUCACGUGGCGGCCAGGGCAGGCGGUGCUAAGGGUGAGGCUGACAGAUGUGUCAACCAAAACAAAGCGAGGAAGUCUCGCUAAUAAUCGAGAGGCUGCCGUCCUAAAACCAGACUGAAGGCGACUCCUGCCUGCUUCCCUUAUCAGUCGCUCUUGGCCAGAAAGUGCACGGGGCUCCACCCCGGGACUCGGCAACGGCUGCGCGGUCCAGUGCGACAGGGAGGGGCCCGGCGGAAGGUGGACAGGGAGGAGAAGAGCCACGUCCUGCUUCUGGGUGUGGGGCCUUCCGUCCACAGUGUCUGGGCGCUCCCCAGGUUUCUCAAGCCACGGCCCCGGGUGGCACCUGCCCACUUCUCUCCCCGCGGGAAGGCUGCGUUCACAACCCUCAUUUUGCAGCACGGACGUUUUCUUACUCGUAGCCAUUGGGUGCAAGCCCAGUUAGGAAAACCGAGUUGCCUGACCGCAGCGGGGAGGCAGGCUUGGAGGGUGAAACGACUCGCCCAAGGUGUUGUCAGGAGCUUGGCAAGGGCAGGAAGGUAACAGAAGGAGCCUGGUCUGGUUGGUGGGCCUGUUCACCUGCUGCAGCUGCCAUAACAAAGUGCCACAAACUGGAUGGGUUAAGACAGGGUCCCCAGCCCCCCGCCAGGCCACGGACCCCUAAGAGUCCCUGGCCUGUUAGGAACCAGGUGGCACCGCAGGAGGUGAGCCACCAGCGAAGCUUCAUCUGUAUUUACAGCUGCUCCCUAUCGCUACAUUACCACCUGAACGCUGCCACUUGUUAGAUCAGGGCGCAUUAGAUUCUCAUAGGAGAUGGUCCCUAUUGUGAACUGUGCAUGCGAGAGAACUAGAUUGUGCUCCGUACAAGAGUUUACUGACUGAUGAUGGGAGUGGAGCUGAGGUGGUGAUGCUAGUGCUGGGAGUGGCUGCAGAUCCGAUUAACAUUAGCAGAGAGGUUUCACUGCACAGAGACCAUCAUAAAUCAAUUGCUUGCAGACUCACCUCAAAACCCUAUCAGUGAGUGGCAAGUGACAAGCUGCAUCUUGUGGCAGACUUUAUAGUGGCAAGUGAGUGUAUGUACUUCAGUUGUACAGCUGCGUCUGGUGGCCUUCAAAGUAUGUUUGAGACAACUUCAGCUCUCCACAUGUUCUGGAUUAAAGUCUAGGCAGAGAAUCCUGAGAUGGUCACAAAGGCACUGAAAAGCCUGCUUCCAUUUCCAACAUCCUUUUUUUUUUUUUUUUUUUUUUAAAUUGAGACAGGUCUCACUCUGUCACCCAGGCUGGAGGG